rnacentral:rRNA from 1 species
CCUACGGGAGGCUGCAGUGGGGAAUAUUGCACAAUGGGGGGAACCCUGAUGCAGCAACGCCGCGUGGGUGAAGAAGUACUGCGGUAUGUAAAGCCCUGUCAGCAGGGAAGAAAAUGACGGUACCUGACCAAGAAGCCCCGGCUAACUACGUGACAGCAGCCGCGGUACUACGUAGGGGGCCAGCGUUAUCCGGAUUUCCUGGGUGUAAAGGGAGCGUAGACGGCAAGGCAAGUCUGGAGUGAAAGCCCGUGGCUCAACCCCGGGACUGAUUUGGAAACUGUGUUGCUGGAGUGCAGGAGGGGUAAGCGGAAUUCCUAGUGUAGCGGUGACAUGCGUAGAUAUGAGGAGGAACACCGGUGGCGAAGGCGGCUUACUGGACUGUAACUGACGUUGAGGCUCGAAGGCGUGGGGAGCAAACAGGAUUAGAUACCCUUGUAGUC